GCUGGCGGCGUGCCUAAUACAUGCAAGUCGAGCGGACAGAUGGGAGCUUGCUCCCUGAUGUUAGCGGCGGACGGGUGAGUAACACGUGGGUAACCUGCCUGUAAGACUGGGAUAACUCCGGGAAACCGGGGCUAAUACCGGAUGGUUGUUUGAACCGCAUGGUUCAGACAUAAAAGGUGGCUUCGGCUACCACUUACAGAUGGACCCGCGGCGCAUUAGCUAGUUGGUGAGGUAACGGCUCACCAAGGCGACGAUGCGUAGCCGACCUGAGAGGGUGAUCGGCCACACUGGGACUGAGACACGGCCCAGACUCCUACGGGAGGCAGCAGUAGGGAAUCUUCCGCAAUGGACGAAAGUCUGACGGAGCAACGCCGCGUGAGUGAUGAAGGUUUUCGGAUCGUAAAGCUCUGUUGUUAGGGAAGAACAAGUGCCGUUCAAAUAGGGCGGCACCUUGACGGUACCUAACCAGAAAGCCACGGCUAACUACGUGCCAGCAGCCGCGGUAAUACGUAGGUGGCAAGCGUUGUCCGGAAUUAUUGGGCGUAAAGGGCUCGCAGGCGGUUUCUUAAGUCUGAUGUGAAAGCCCCCGGCUCAACCGGGGAGGGUCAUUGGAAACUGGGGAACUUGAGUGCAGAAGAGGAGAGUGGAAUUCCACGUGUAGCGGUGAAAUGCGUAGAGAUGUGGAGGAACACCAGUGGCGAAGGCGACUCUCUGGUCUGUAACUGACGCUGAGGAGCGAAAGCGUGGGGAGCGAACAGGAUUAGAUACCCUGGUAGUCCACCCGUAAACGAUGAGUGCUAAGUGUUAGGGGGUUUCCGCCCCUUAGUGCUGCAGCUAACGCAUUAAGCACUCCGCCUGGGGAGUACGGUCGCAAGACUGAAACUCAAAGGAAUU
rnacentral:rRNA from 1 species